rfam:Robinsoniella sp. RHS robin_c18, whole genome shotgun sequence.
ACAAGAAAUAAGGGGAGUCGGGAGAACCCGGCUGAGAGUAAACUACACCAAUGUUUAGACCCAUAACCUGAUCUGGAUCAUACCAGCGUAGGGAAAUAUACCAAUGGAGCA